GGUGGGUUCGGAUAAUGGUAUUCCAGCAGAUUGCUAAUCUGCGACGGUCAAAAGCCGUCUGUGGGUUCGACUCCCACACCCACCG
rnacentral:tRNA from 1 species